AUGCUCACUUCAGCAGUACAUACACUAAAAUGGGAAUGGUAGAGAAAAGAGUUGUAGCGUCCCUGAGCAGGGAUGACAGGCCAAAUUUGUGAAGGCUUGCAUAUUUUC
rnacentral:snRNA from 1 species